ensembl:lncRNA C1orf21-DT C1orf21 divergent transcript
GCGUCCCGUCCGGCCUUCCCGGGCCUGUCACUUGGGCGGUGGCGUGGGAGCGGCGAGGCUGCUCGGGGGGCAGCCGGGUGGGCCCAGCUCUAGGGGAGAUUCGGGUCAGCCCCUGAGCCCAGCCUCCCGGCUGUGCCUGCUGGAAGCAGACGGAGGGAAGGCCGGGCGUCUUUGGCCCACCGCGCGGCCGCUCCCCUCCCGGGCCAGGCUGAACGGGCGGGCGCAGCCCAGAGGCCCGGGCUCUGCCACCGAUCCGCCUCCAUACUGACCCGAGCUGCGGCGCCUGCAAGAUUAAUGAAGCAUCCGCGAUUCGGUAGAGGCGGCACGGGGAGGAAAGACACAAGAUCGUGCUGCCCCCCUCUCCCCACCCUUCUCAGCCUCCUAGGACCUAAAGGCGUAGGCUGCGUCUGCUGGGCGCGUCCGGAGUGGUCCAGAGAGAUCGCCAUCCACCACUGCAUCCGUCCAGUUCUUUGUGGACCCUCACAGAAGCUCAAUCAAUUUCCCACCCUCUGGAAAAGGGUAUUUUUCUCUUCCCUGGCAUAUUGGGUGUUUCUUGUGUGCACCUAAUUGAUCUUUUUCCAUUGAUAGCCUUUGGAUGUCUUUUGUGCGGCUUCCCCGCGCUUCACUGCUCCCUCAUUGCCUUAGACACGCGAGGAAUGUCAGGCCCCCAGAGUGAGAACACCCAAGAAAACAAUAGGGGCAAAAGAUCCUCCCUGGGCCUCGCGGAUUAUGCACAAACCAGAUCAUUUCCCACAUUCGGCCAGGGUGAAGAUGGAAAAUGGAAAAGAACGCCAUCAGAGUGGUGACACUGACGAGAAAAGCCAAUUCAUAAUUUAGUUUAAUGAAAUGAGUUAGUAAUCAACCACUAAUGUCUAGGAAAUUGGCCUUUUUUGAAAACUGGUUUUCCCUUUCUCCACCCCUUUUUUUUUCAAAUUAAAAGACUAGUAUCCCA